UACGAAGGGGGCUAGCGUUGCUCGGAAUCACUGGGCGUAAAGCGCACGUAGGCGGCUUUCUAAGUCAGGGGUGAAAUCCUGGAGCUCAACUCCAGAACUGCCUUUGAUACUGGAGAGCUUGAGUCCGGAAGAGGUGAGUGGAACUCCGAGUGUAGAGGUGAAAUUCGUAGAUAUUCGGAAGAACACCAGUGGCGAAGGCGGCUCACUGGUCCGGUACUGACGCUGAAGUGCGAAAGCGUGGGGAGCAAACAGG
rnacentral:rRNA from 1 species